UACGUAGGGCGCAAGCGUUGUCCGGAAUUAUUGGCGUAAAGAGCUCGUAGGCGGUUUGUCACGUCGGCUGUGAAAACCCGAGGCUCAACCUCGGGCCUGCAGUCGAUACGGGCAGACUAGAGUGCUGUAGGGGAGACUGGAAUUCCUGGUGUAGCGGUGAAAUGCGCAGAUAUCAGGAGGAACACCGGUGGCGAAGGCGGGUCUCUGGGCGAGUAACUGACGCUGGAGGAGCGAAAGCGUGGGGAGCAAACAGG
rnacentral:rRNA from 1 species